AAGUAAGCAAGGGCACCCGGGGGAUGCCUAGGCUCUCAGAGGCGAUGAAGGACGCGAUAAGCUGCGAAAAGCGGUGGGGAAGGGCACAUACCUGGUGAUCCACCGAUAUCCGAAUGGGGCAACCCCGCUGGUUGAAGACCAGUGACCUUUCUCUAUAGGAGAUAAGGGGCAAACGCAGGGAACUGAAACAUCUAAGUACCUGCAGGAACAGAAAAUAACAAUGAUUCCCCAAGUAGUGGCGAGCGAACGGGGAGGAGCCCAAACCACGGCGGUUACGGCCGCUGUGGGGUUGUAGGACUGCGACAUCUGAUUGAAUCGAGAUAACUGAAGUGUGUGGGAAAACACAGCAUAGAGGGUGAGACUCCCGUAAGUGACAUUUCUGAUUCACGGUAGCAGGAUCCUGAGUAAGGCGGGGCCGGAGAAACCCCGUCUGAAUCGAGCGGCACCAUCCGCUAAGGCUACAUACUCCUGAGACACCGAUAGUGAACCAGUACCGUGAGGGAAAGGCGAAAAGAACCCCUGUGAGGGGAGUGAAAUAGAUCCUGAAACCGUAUGCGUACAAGC
rnacentral:rRNA from 1 species